GCCGCUUCUUCUUCUUCUCGGCGUCCGAGCCCGGAGACGCAGGCCGAGCGGACGGCCGCUGCGACGAGUCCCGCGGGCUGGCCUCUGGGUUGCUCUCGUCCGAGGCUAGGGACGCAAAGGAGACACGGCCUGACCUCUCAUCCCCAGGACUCUGGCUCCACACUCUCCAGAAUGUUCUAGAAGAGGAUGUGACUGACAUCUUUUGAGUUUCCGAAGGACCCUCCACAAGAUUGGUGAGGGGUAGAUAAUUUUGGAAAGAGAACCAAGUCAGGAGAAGCAAAAGAAGUGUCUUUCCUGGAAUGACUGACCUCUCUUAGCCUUUUAAUCUAUUUAACAUCCUAAGCCCACACUGAUGUGUAGAAGUAAGUAAAUGGCACUCUUCAGUUCUUCAGCAUCAAAUAUUUGCAGAGCUCUUCAGCAUCAAAUAUUUGCUUUUACUCUUAGUAUUUGGCUACCAAAGAGGAGAUACAUCCCCCAUCUAGCAGUUGUGCUCUAGGAAGGACCUGUGUCUGGGAUUAGCUCCAAAUAUUACUUCUGGCCUCACCUUCCCCAAUCUGGGAACAGUGUUCCUGGGCCCCAGUCUGUGUUUUGAAUGUCCCAGGGAAACUCUGUACCUUCUGGUUCUGGAAAGCACUGCAACUUCCCUGCUUCAUCGUGGACUCUACACUCGUCCAGUCGUCCUCUCAACUCUGCUCUGGGACUGUACCUAAAUUAUCUCCGAGAGCCAGAGCCUGGGGACUCCAGGAGCUAGUUCCAUUUAAACCAUGCCUUCUGAAGAAAUGCAGGAAAGAAGGGGGGAGAGCCAGAAUUAUUAGACAAAGGUGCUUUUUUUAAAAUUGCUUCUUCACAUUGAAUAAGCUCAAAGACAUAGGAGGAGAAAAUUCUUUUGAUAUUGAGUCAAUAGAAAUAAGGUAGUCAAGAUGUUAAGUUUUAUACACAUUAGAAAUAUGCCUAUGAAUUGCCUCCAAAUCACAGGUAAACAUCUGACUGGAUAUUCUUUCCAGGUUUUAAAAUAUUGUUUGGUGCUCUGGACACUUGAAUUUAUUUUGAAACAUAGCUUGUGAAUAUUAUUAUUUAAUUAGAUAAGUAUUUGUUUCCCUGUAAUUGGAUGUAGUGCAUCUCAAUCCCAGUAAGAGUUUUUAAUCUUAAGGCAUCUGUGCCAUAGUGAAUAUAUUUAAGCAGUCUGCACUAAUCACCCUUUCAAAAGUAUUAUCCAAGAUAAUCAUCACUGCUGCGUGCUUGAGAAUUUAAGACUAGAAAAUUCUGAAAUAAAACUAAAGUAUCUUGAUUUUUUUAAAAUGAUUGCAUCUGUAUCUUGCAUUCUGCUUUUAAAUCCUUCCAUUUUGGUUAAGUGUUUCACAAAAUCCUGCAAAUCUAUACAGUCUUGAAGAGAGGCAACAUUGCAAAUUCCCCUUGAUAGAUGGAGGGCCCUCAACUGCCAGGACAUUUUUCUUUGCCUCACAGCAACUGCUCUCCCCUUUUUAUCAGUAUUCUGGUUAAAAUAGCAAAAGGAAAAUAAAAAUGUGCUUUUGACAUUUCCAAGAAGAAGUGAAUGAUCUUCAUUGGCCUUAGGAUGGAAAGAAAAGGCAGCAUUUAAAAUCAGACCUCUUUGCCUUUCCUCCUGAAAACUACUUGCCGUGAAUAAGUAAACAUUUCCCUUUUAAUGGUUAAUAAUCAAUUGCUUGGCGGUGGUCCAGGCCUGGCUGCAAUUCUUUCUUAGUUGUACUGAUGAUAUAUAUACAUGGGACAGGGAACAGCAGUUACUUUCAGACUGGGACUUUAGUACAUCUUUGAAAUGGGCUUUAGAUUUUAUUGUUUAAUGUCAAAUGACAAGAUUUGAAAGAUCCCACCUUAAAUUCCUUAAAAUAUUGACUUUACAUGGACUUUUUUGUUGUUGUGCUUGAUCUCUAGGAGAAAAGUUUUUCUGUCCAAAUGUUUAUCUAGUUGUUUAGUUAUAUACAUUAAAAAAAAUGUAGGGGGUAAAAUGGUUCAAUGAAUUAAAAAAUGAAUGUAUUUAAUUAAAUAUC